rnacentral:rRNA from 1 species
AUUGAACGCUGGCGGCAGGCCUAACACAUGCAAGUCGAGCGGAUGAGAAGAGCUUGCUCUUCGAAUCAGCGGCGGACGGGUGAGUAAUGCCUAGGAAUCUGCCUGGUAGUGGGGGACAACGUUUCGAAAGGAACGCUAAUACCGCAUACGUCCUACGGGAGAAAGCAGGGGACCUUCGGGCCUUGCGCUAUCAGUUGAGCCUAGGUCGGAUUAGCUAGUUGGUGAGGUAAUGGCUCACCAAGGCGACGAUCCGUAACUGGUCUGAGAGGAUGAUCAGUCACACUGGAACUGAGACACGGUCCAGACUCCUACGGGAGGCAGCAGUGGGGAAUAUUGGACAAUGGGCGAAAGCCUGAUCCAGCCAUGCCGCGUGUGUGAAGAAGGUCUUCGGAUUGUAAAGCACUUUAAGUUGGGAGGAAGGGCAGUAAGCUAAUACCUUGCUGUUUUGACGUUACCGACAAAAUGAGCACCGGCUAACUCUGUGCCAGCAGCCGCGGUAAUAC